CAGAAUUAGAGAAGUUUAACAUUCCUGUCCCGUCAGACGCAGAAACACUCGUGGAAACACCUGUAUCCCUCCCGAAUCCUCCUUGCGGCACACCAGAUGAGGGAGCAGAGGCCGUUGGUGGUUCUAAAACUGGUGCAAAGACGAAGAUAGCAUGUAAGGAUCCAGCUUACAAGCCUGAUGACGGUACUGACGAGAAAAUGGAAACAUGAACGUCCAACAAUUUGCUAUUUUUCAUUUACUUUUUUGUAUUACAUAGUGUAGAUAACUAUGGGGUGGGGGUGAAGUACACUAAUAAAACGGCCUACUGCGACAAGCCCACAGAUUCAAAUCAUUACAUUUAACUCGACAAACUUUUCAAGUAAUUGUAAGAUUAUUAAUUACCUUGAAGCUAUUAAUGGAAAAGCUAUUCAAAAUUAAUGAAAAUAAAAUGAAAGAAAUUAUAGUCAAGGAGUGUUAUGAGUAUAAUGGUACAGGGAAAGAAUGUCAAACAUCCAAAUAACUUUGUUCAGCAGUAUUCAAACUACAGAAUGCUAAAAGGGAAUGGGGCUGGUGCAAACCCUUAUUUUAAUGGGUUUUUUAAUGGUCGUAGGCACCAAAUUUGGUUAAAAAAAUGUCAGUCUAGGGUACAUCUCUACCCCACACUAAAAACUUUGGAGUCGGUGUACAUUCUUUUUUCAUUGCUAAACCAGUCUUUUCCUAUGUAAUUCAGACGUAGUUAACGUUAUUUAUGUGGUUUACAGUGUAGAAAGAAAACACAGACAGACAUGUAGUCUUCUGUACAAAUUAAAUUUGAGGACUUAUACAAUU